GCCUCUGUGGUGUAGUUGGUUAUCACGUGAGUCUCAUAAUCUCAAGGUCGGGAGUUCGAUCCUCCCCGGAGGCA